GGGAAACAACAGGCUGCAGUUCAAGGCUGAUCAUCACAUCCUCCAUUCAAGCUAAAGCACAAUGGGAGAAUUGGAGUCUUGAGAGGCUGAUGUCUGUCGCGGGAAUAACCUGGACUACAGCAGGAUACAUCCUGGGAAAUUCCCUCACUAUCACAGGUCUGCAAAGAAGAAAAGAAAAACAGUAUGAAGGAGCCUCUCAUCACUCUCUUACUGUCUCAUCAUCGUGUUGACUGGCUGGCAUGCCCGAGGACAGGAGACAGCCAGACAUAGGCAAAGACCUGUAGGUUGACUUCUCAGCGGUAUGGCAGGUCUGAGUGUAUCUUCAAGGGGUCACGACCCUCCUAGACUGUGAGCUGGACAAACAGGACCGAGGAGCUGCAGCAGGACAUGGAAUGUCCCCAUUGUAUUUGUUUUGUUUCACUGUUUCUGUUGAAAAAGUGGAAAAAACCUCCCUCUGAACUUGCUGGAACAAAAGAAAACAUUUCCUUGGCAGCUAAAGAGGAAGAGUUUGCAUACUAAGAAUGAUAAAAGCUAAGGCAGUGCUCUGUGAUGUAACUAAAGGUACAUGGUUCUUUCCUGCCUUUUUUAUAACGCUCUGAAAAUGUGAUUUAUGUUAGGAGCAGCACUUUUUAUUUUUGAACAUAUUUUUGGUGCAGCCACCCGUCUCUAUAUCUUUGUGUCCCACAUUAUAUAUGUUUGCUAUGUGUCUGGUACCAUGUGGAACCAAUU